GAAACACUCACUCAAUGUGGUGAGUUUUAUGGCCGACCAGUCUGUAAGGAUGGUGACAGCCAUCGUGUUGCACAGUGUCUUCUUCCUCUCAGUUUGUUUCACAGGUGCUUCUGCUGAUUGUUAUGGGCUUACAGAUCUAUUCAUCACUGCACCAAAAGAGAUGGAAGCACUGACUGGAUCUUGU